rnacentral:rRNA from 1 species
AGUCGAGCGCACCUUCGGGUGAGCGGCGGACGGGUUAGUAACGCGUGGGAACAUACCCUUUGGUACGGAAUAGCCUCUGGAAACGGAGAGUAAUACCGUAUGAGCCCUUCGGGGGAAAGAUUUAUCGCCAAAGGAUUGGCCCGCGUUAGAUUAGGUAGUUGGUGGGGUAAUGGCCUACCAAGCCUACGAUCUAUAGCUGGUUUUAGAGGAUGAUCAGCAACACUGGGACUGAGACACGGCCCAGACUCCUACGGGAGGCAGCAGUGGGGAAUCUUGGACAAUGGGGGCAACCCUGAUCCAGCCAUGCCGCGUGAGUGAUGAAGGCCUUAGGGUCGUAAAGCUCUUUCGCCUGUGAAGAUAAUGACGGUAGCAGGUAAAGAAACCCCGGCUAACUCCGUGCCAGCAGCCGCGGUAAUACGGAGGGGGUUAGCGUUGUUCGGAAUUACUGGGCGUAAAGCGCACGUAGGCGGACUGGAAAGUUGGGGGUGAAAUCCCAGGGCUCAACCCUGGAACUGCCUCCAAAACUAUCAGUCUAGAGUUCGAGAGAGGUGAGUGGAAUUCCGAGUGUAGAGGUGAAAUUCGUAGAUAUUCGGAGGAACACCAGUGGCGAAGGCGGCUCACUGGCUCGAUACUGACGCUGAGGUGCGAAAGUGUGGGGAGCAAACAGGAUUAGAUACCCUGGUAGUCCACACCGUAAACGAUGAAUGCCAGUCGUCGGGUAGCAUGCUAUUCGGUGACACACCUAACGGA